rnacentral:misc_RNA from 1 species
AUCAUAUCAUUUUUGUAUACUUCCACCAUCUUCCCGAUCAAUCCCUCAAACAUUUCGUUCACCAGAUACUGGUAGGUAGCUCCUACAUUCUUCAAUCCGAAUGGCAUAACCUUAUAACAAUACACUCUUGAAUCCAUAAUAAAGCAGUCAUUUCCUCAUCGUCUGGAUCUAUCUUAAUUUGGUGAUAUCCUGAAAUAGCAUCAACUAAGAAACACACAGCAUGUCAUGCAGUUGCAUCCACCAACCGAUCUAUUGUGUGGUGUACAACUGAAUGGCAUAAACUAUACAAGAUGAUGAUGAACAGAGGAUAGAUUAAUACUAUAAAAAAAUAAUAGGUUAUCAUAUCCGACCCUUUUUUACUAAGUUAGAUAACUAACAUGAAAAAUCUAUUAAGUUUAGAUUGUAG